rnacentral:rRNA from 1 species
GACGAACGCUGGCGGCGUGCUUAACACAUGCAAGUCGAACGGAAAGGCCCUGCUUGCAGGGUACUCGAGUGGCGAACGGGUGAGUAACACGUGGGUGAUCUGCCCUUCACUUCGGGAUAAGCCUGGUAAACUGGGUCUAAUACCGGCUAGGAGCCAUUUUUAGUGUGAUGGUUGGAAAGUUUUUUCGGUGUAGGAUGAGCUCGCGGCCUAUCAGCUUGUUGGUGGGGUAAUGGCCUACCAAGGCGGCGACGGGUAGCCGGCCUGAGAGGGUGGACGGCCACAUUGGGACUGAGAUACGGCCCAGACUCCUACGGGAGGCAGCAGUGGGGAAUAUUGCACAAUGGGCGCAAGCCUGAUGCAGCGACGCCGCGUGGGGGAUGACGGCCUUCGGGUUGUAAACUCCUUUCGCUAGGGACGAAGCUUUUUGUGACGGUACCUAGAUAAGAAGCACCGGCUAACUACGUG